rnacentral:pre_miRNA from 1 species
AGGAGGAACAACCGCAGUGGCGGGGCCAGCUCUGGAGCCCUGGAAUCAGCUCCUGCAGUAGCUCCAGAGCUCUCCGUCUGCAGGGCCUGGAGGCUCUGGGGCGGC